GACGAACGCUGGCGGCGUGCUUAACACAUGCAAGUCGAACGGAAAGUCCCUGCUUUUGUUGGUUGCUCGUUUGGCGAACGCGUGUGUAACACGUGUGUAACCUGCCCUUGUCUUUCGGAUAUCUUCUGGAAACUCGGGCUAAUACCGGAUAUGAUCUCCUGCUGCUUGGUGGUCGUUGGAAAGUUUCGGGGUUUGUGUCUGGUCUCGCUGCUUCUCAGCUUGUUGUUGGGGUUGUUGCUUUCCAAGGGUUUGACGGGUAGCCGGACUGAGAGGGUGACCGGCGACAAAGGGACUGAGGGAAGGCACAGAAAGCAAAGGGAGGCAGCAGGGGGGAAUAUUGCAGAAGGGGCGGAAGCAUGAUGCAGAAACGCCGCGUGCGGGAAGACGGCGUUCGGGUUGAAAAACGCAUGCGCAUGUGACGAAGCGUGAGUGACGGUAAUGGGUAAAGAAGGACCGGCUAACUACGUG
rnacentral:rRNA from 1 species